rnacentral:lncRNA from 1 species
GUUGAAAUACAAAGUGUCAGCGUUGGGCAACGUAAUCGCCGCCGACUGCAGAGGAUCCCGCGAUGUCCGUUGGCUUAAGUAGUUUUCCGAUGAAACCAGGUUUUCAGACGAAGUUGGUGAUUGCCGCCAGAAGCGGCAGGACGGUUAGCUUCGACGAAGGUGAUAGUGGCAUCCG